GACGAACGCUGGCGGCGGGCUUAACACAUGCAAGUCGGACGCUCCGGUUUUGGCCGGGGCGUGGCGCACGGGUGCGUAACACGUAGGUAACCUGCCCUCGAGUGGGGAAUAACCCCGGGAAACCGGGGCUAAUACCGCAUACAGACUGGGAGCUGCAUGGCUCUCAGUUGAAAGCCGUGCACCGGUGACGGUGCGGGCGCUCGGGGAUGGGCCUGCGGCGGAUUAGGUAGUUGGUGGGGUAAGGCCUACCAAGCCUGCGAUCCGUAGCUGGUCUGAGAGGAUGAUCAGCCACACUGGCACUGAGACACGGGCCAGACUCCUACGGGAGGCAGCAGUGAGGAAUAUUGGUCAAGUGGGCGGAAGCCUGAACCAGCCAUGCCGCGUGCGGGAUGAAGGCCCUACGGGUUGUAAACUGCUUUUAUAAGUGAGGAAUAUGACGGUAACUUAUGAAUAAGGAUCGGCUAACUACGUG
rnacentral:rRNA from 1 species